rnacentral:sRNA from 1 species
AAAGGGCAUUGUCCGCCCUUGUCCUGCGC